UUUCCAUGCAUCCAAACAACCAAAAGUCUCUCUUCCCCAGUGGGUAUCACAGAUUGGUGAAGUGCAGCCUGAUAUAUUCCAUACAGAUCGGUUGGGGCAGCAUUACAAGGAGUGCUUAUCUCUGGCUGUUGAUGAUCUUCCUGUUCUAGAUGGAAAGACACCAAUCCAAGUUUACCAUGACUUCUGUGAGAGUUUCAAGACUUCGUUCUCACAUUUCAUGGGCUCAACAAUCACAGUAAGAAUCUGGAUCCCACAACUCUAUUGUCAUAUAUUCCUGGUAUCUUAUUUGGGGUAAUGACACUUAAAGUGGAUUCUGGUAUUUUCUAUUUUGCAGGGCAUCUCAAUGGGUCUAGGCCCAGAUGGUGAGCUUCGAUAUCCUUCUCAUCACAGGGUAAGCAAAAGGGGUAAAGUCCCUGGGGUUGGAGAAUUUCAGUGUUAUGACAAAAACAUGCUCAGCCUUCUCAAGCAACAUGCUGAAGCAACUGGAAAUCCGUAUUGGGGUCUCGGUGGUCCUCAUGAUGCCCCCCAGUAUGAUGGGAUGCCAAACUCGAACAACUUCUUCAGGGAGCAUGGCGGAUCAUGGGAGACUCCAUAUGGUGAUUUCUUCCUUUCUUGGUACUCAAACCAGCUAAUAUCUCAUGGAAGUAGCCUCCUUUCCCUUGCUUCUACAGUUUUCUGCAACUCUCCCGUUGCAAUUUCUGGCAAGGUCCCAGUCGUUCAUUCAUGGUACAAAACCCGCUCGCACCCUUCUGAGCUAACAGCUGGCUUCUACAACACAGUUGACAAGGACGGCUAUGAAAGGAUUGCUGAAAUUUUUGCAAAAAAUUCAUGCAAAAUGAUCUUACCGGGAAUGGACCUGUCAGACGAUCACCAGCCGCAGGAGUCCCUCUCUAGCCCUGAAUUAUUACUCGCACAAAUCAAGUCUGCUUGCAGAAAGAGAGGAGUUCAGAUUUCUGGGCAAAACUCGUCUGUUUCAGGAGCACCUGGUGGUUUCGAACAGGUAAAGAAGAAUUUGCUGGGCGAGGAUGGAGUUGUGGACUUGUUCAC
rnacentral:lncRNA from 1 species